rnacentral:rRNA from 1 species
GUGCCUAAUACAUGCAAGUCGAGCGGACAGAAGGGAGCUUGCUCCCGGAUGUUAGCGGCGGACGGGUGAGUAACACGUGGGUAACCUGCCUGUAAGACUGGGAUAACUCCGGGAAACCGGAGCUAAUACCGGAUAGUUCCUUGAACCGCAUGGUUCAAGGAUGAAAGACGGUUUCGGCUGUCACUUACAGAUGGACCCGCGGCGCAUUAGCUAGUUGGUGGGGUAAUGGCUCACCAAGGCGACGAUGCGUAGCCGAMCCUGAGAGGGUGAUCGGCCACACUGGGACUGAGACACGGCCCAGACUCCUACGGGAGGCAGCAGUAGGGAAUCUUCCGCAAUGGACGAAAGUCUGACGGAGCAACGCCGCGUGAGUGAUGAAGGUUUUCGGAUCGUAAAGCUCUGUUGUUAGGGAAGAACAAGUGCGAGAGUAACUGCUCGCACCUUGACGGUACCUAACCAGAAAGCCACGGCUAACUACGUGCCAGCAGCCGCGGUAAUACGUAGGUGGCAAGCGUUGUCCGGAAUUAUUGGGCGUAAAGGGCUCGCAGGCGGUUUCUUAAGUCUGAUGUGAAAGCCCCGGGCUCAACCGGGGAGGGUCAUUGGAAACUGGGAAACUUGAGUGCAGAAGAGGAGAGUGGAAUUCCACGUGUAGCGGUGAAAUGCGUAGAGAUGUGGAGGAACACCAGUGGCGAAGGCGACUCUCUGGUCUGUAACUGACGCUGAGGAGCGAAAGCGUGGGGAGCGAACAGAAUUAGAUACCCUGGUAGUCCACGCCGUAAACGAUGAGUGCUAAGUGUUAGGGGGUUUCCGCCCCUUAGUGCUGCAGCUAACGCAUUAAGCACUCCGCCUGGGGAGUACGGUCGCAAGACUGAAACUCAAAGGAAUUGACGGGGGCCCGCACAAGCGGUGGAGCAUGUGGUUUAAUUCGAAGCAACGCGAAGAACCUUACCAGGUCUUGACAUCCUCUGACAACCCUAGAGAUAGGGCUUUCCCUUCGGGGACAGAGUGACAGGUGGUGCAUGGUUGUCGUCAGCUCGUGUCGUGAGAUGUUGGGUUAAGUCCCGCAACGAGCGCAACCCUUGAUCUUAGUUGCCCAGCAUUUAGUUGGGCACUCUAAGGUGACUGCCGGUGACAAACCGGAGGAAGGUGGGGAUGACGUCAAAUCAUCAUGCCCCUUAUGACCUGGGCUACACACGUGCUACAAUGGACAGAACAAAGGGCUGCGAGACCGCAAGGUUUAGCCAAUCCCAUAAAUCUGUUCUCAGUUCGGAUCGCAGUCUGCAACUCGACUGCGUGAAGCUGGAAUCGCUAGUAAUCGCGGAUCAGCAUGC